rnacentral:tRNA from 1 species
UGGGGUAUAGCUCAGUGGUAGAGUACAUGCCUCGCAUGCCUGAGGUCCUGAGUUCAAUCCCCAGCACCUCCA